CCUACGGGUGGCAGCAGUGAGGAAUAUUGGUCAAUGGACGCAAGCCUGAACCAGCCAUGUCGCGUGCGGGAUGACGGCCCUACGAGUUGUAAACUGCUUUUGUACGAGGGUAACCGCAGACACGUGUAUCUGUCUGCAAGUAUCGUACGAAUAAGGAUCGGCUAACUCCGUGCCACCAGCCGCGGUAAUACGGAGGAUUCAAGCGUUAUCCGGAUUUAUUGGGUUUAAAGGGUGCGUAGGCGGGCGGAUAAGUUAGAGGUGAAAUCCCGAGGCUCAACUUCGGAAUUGCGUCUGAUACUGUUCGGCUAGAGAGUAGAUGCGGUAGGCGGAAUGUAUGGUGUAGCGGUGAAAUGCUUAGAGAUCAUACAGAACCCCGAUUGCGAAGGCAGCUUACCAAGCUACUUCUGACGUUGAGGCACGAAAGCGUGGGGAGCAAACAGGAUUAGAUACCCUUGUAGUC
rnacentral:rRNA from 1 species